rnacentral:rRNA from 1 species
UGAAUACGAGACGCUAAGGCGUUGAAGUAGUGUAUGUCAUACUUCCAAGAAAAGCUUGCACUGUCAUAGAUAAAAAACGCCUGUACCAUAACCGACACAGGUGGGUAGGUAGAGUAUACUAAGGGGCGCGAGAUAACUCUCUCUAAGGAACUCGGCAAAAUAGCUCCGUAACUUCGGGAGAAGGAGUGCCUUAUUUAUAAGGCUGCAAUAACAAGAUCCAAGCAACUGUUUAUCAAAAACACAGGUCUCCGCCAAGUCGUAAGACGAUGUAUGGGGGCUGACGCCUGCCCAGUGCCAGAAGGUUAAAGAAGUUGGUUAGCAAUAGCGAAGCUGAUAACUGAAGCCCUGGUGAACGGCGGCCGUAACAAUAACGGUCCUAAGGUAGCGAAAUUCCUUGUCGGGUAAGUUCCGACCCGCACGAAAGGCGUAAUGAUUUGGAUACUGUCUCGGAGAGGGGCUCGGUGAAAUAGACUUGUCUGUGAAGAUGCGGACUACCUGCACCAGGACAGAAAGACCCUAUGAAGCUUUACUGUAACUUGAAAUUGAAAUUGGACUUUAUUCGCGCAGUAUAGGUGGGAGGCGUUGAUUGUAAUCUUGCGGGAUUAUUGGAGCCAUCAGUGAGAUACCACCCUUGUAAUGUUAGAUUUCUAACUUUGAAUCAUUAUCUGGUCAAAGAACAGUUUCAGGCGGGCAGUUUGACUGGGGCGGUCGCCUCCUAAACGGUAACGGAGGCGUACAAAGGUUUCCUCUGAACGGUUAGAAAUCGUAUCUAGAGUGUAAAGGCAUAAGGAAGCUUGACUGUGAGACCUACAAGUCGAGCAGGGACGAAAGUCGGUCUUAGUGAUCUGACGGUACUGAGUGGAAAGGCCGUCACUCAACGGAUAAAAGUUACUCUAAGGAUAACAGGCUGAUCUCCCCCAAGAGUUCACAUCGACGGGGAGGUUUGGCACCUCGAUGUCGGCUCAUCGCAUCCUGGGGCGGUAGUACGUCCCAAGGGUUGGGCUGUUCGCCCAUGAAAGCGGUACGCGAGCUGGGUUCAGAACGUCGUGAGACAGUUCGGUCCAUAUCCGGUGUAGGCGUUAGAAUAUUGAGAGGAGCCUUCUUUAGUACGAGAGGACCGAGAAGGACAUACCUCUGGUGUACCAGUUAUCGUGCCAACGGUAAACGCUGGGUAGCUAUGUAUGGAGUGGAUAACCGCUGAAAGCAUCUAAGUGGGAAGCCCACCUCAAGAUAAGUAUUCUCAUC